rnacentral:rRNA from 1 species
CUACGGGAUGCACCAGUGAGGAAUAUUGCACAAUGGGGGGAACCCUGAUGCAGCAACGCCGCGUGGAGGAUGACGCAUUUCGGUGUGUAAACUCCUUUUAUAUGUCAAGAAAAUGACGGUAGCAUAUGAAUAAGCACCGGCUAACUCCGUGCCAGCAGCCGCGGUAAUACGGAGGGUGCAAGCGUUACUCGGCAUCACUGGGCGUAAAGGACGCGUAGGCGGGUUGGAAAGUCAGGUGUGAAAUCCUACAGCUUAACUGUAGAACUGCACUUGAAACUUCUAAGCUAGAGUAUGGGCGGGGGAGAUGGAAUUAGUGGUGUAGGGGUAAAAUCCGUAGAUAUCACUAGGAAUACCUAAAGCGAAGGCGAUCUCCUGGAACAUUACUGACGCUAAGGCGUGAAAGCGUGGGGAGCAAACAGGAUUAGAUACCCGUGUAGUC